GAUGCAUUACAGUUUCUCUCACUCAAUCUCCCUUUCUCUCUCUCUUUCAUUUUCUUCGAUCAACGCCUUCCUCUCCCCUUCUCAAAAUUGUAAUUGUAUUGCUUACGUCAGAAAUCAUCUACCCAAUAUAUAUAUAAUGAAUUAUCUUAAUAACUAAGCUAAACCCAAGAAGUGCAUGUUUGUUUAUGUGUGUGUGUGAGAGAGUAAAAAGAAGAUGGGUUGCUUCUUUUCAUCUUCAGCUCCGGUAGGCAACCAUAAUAGCCCCGGAACCACUAAGCCCCCAAGUCCAGUUAAUAGUAAAAUAGAGAGUAUUCCAACAGCCGCCGUGAAACUUGAUCAUAAUCGGAGUAGAGAUCAAUUAGUUCCGGGGGCGAAUGAUGAACUGGGAAUGCCAAAUUUAAAGGUGUUUACUCUAUCGGAGCUAAGAAGCGCCACCAGAAACUUCCGGCCGGAUACGGUUCUCGGAGAAGGAGGUUUUGGGACGGUUUUCAAAGGAUGGAUCGACGAUAAAAUGUUAACGCCGUCCAAGGUUGGAUUCGGAAUUCCGAUCGCCGUUAAAAAGUCAAAUCCCGACAGCGAUCAGGGCAUCCGGGAGUGGACGGUACGUAAACUAUAUAUACUAUUUUAUAUUAUCUUUUAUAAAAUAAAAUCAAUUUUAUAUAUUUUCAAACUAAUUAAUUAAAUAAAUAAGUUUGCAUGUGGUGAAAUAUAGGUUAAAGUUUAUUAUUAUUAUUAUUAUUAUACUUUGUCUACUUCUCUUGAGUCUUGACUGAAAUAAAAUUAAAAGUUGACUGUUUAAUAAUUGUCUAAGAAUUGGUCUCUAUUAUAUCUUAAUUCAAAUAUAUAAUAAUACUAAUUAA